CUACGGGUCGCACCAGUGAGGAAUAUUGCGCAAUGGGGGAAACCCUGACGCAGCGACGCCGCGUGGAUGAUGAAGGCCUUCGGGUUGUAAAAUCCUGUCAGAUGGGAAGAACUGUUACAUGUCUAAUAUAUGUGUAACCUGACGGUACCAUCAAAGGAAGCACCGGCUAACUCCGUGCCAGCAGCCGCGGUAAUACGGGGGGUGCAAGCGUUGUUCGGAAUUACUGGGCGUAAAGCGCGCGUAGGCGGCUAUGUAAGUCAGAUGUGAAAGCCCAUGGCUUAACCAUGGACGUGCAUUUGAUACUGCAUGGCUUGAGUACUGGAGGGGGUGGUGGAAUUCCCGGUGUAGAGGUGAAAUUCGUAGAUAUCGGGAGGAAUACCGGUGGCGAAGGCGACCACCUGGCCAGAUACUGACGCUGAGGUGCGAAAGCGUGGGGAGCAAACAGGAUUAGAUACCCGUGUAGUC
rnacentral:rRNA from 1 species